rnacentral:rRNA from 1 species
GAUCAUGGCUCAGAGCGAACGCUGGCGGCAGGCUUAACACAUGCAAGUCGAGCGGGCACCUUCGGGUGUCAGCGGCAGACGGGUGAGUAACACGUGGGAACGUGCCCUUCGGUUCGGAAUAACUCAGGGAAACUUGAGCUAAUACCGGAUACGCCCUUUUGGGGAAAGGUUUACUGCCGAAGGAUCGGCCCGCGUCUGAUUAGCUUGUUGGUGGGGUAACGGCCUACCAAGGCGACGAUCAGUAGCU